GUUCCCCGGAGCAAGGCUGCUUCUCUCCACCCACUCCUCACCAAGAACUCCUGAACUUGAGAGUGGACGACUUCAAAGCUAGCUCUCACAGACUCACCUGGAAAAGAGUUCAGCUGCGCGUUCAUUGAACCGAGAGGCCAGAUCACCUAUGUGAGGCGGUGGGAACCAUAUGGAGAUUUAUAUUAGAACUUCAGCAAAGUGCACAGCUGCAGCCGGCAGAAGCCAGCUCUCGGGCUGACAGGCAAAUGAACCAGAUCGUGGACGGGGCCUCUGGGUGGCAGCUCCGGCCUUUUGGUUGUUGGACAACUAUAGUCAGAACUGAAAUGGAACAGGGGCAGGAGAAAUAACACACUUUUACUCCACGCAACUGUUGCUUUCACAUGAUCUUCAGGAAUGUAACUGGGAUAAUUGUCCAAAUUGAAUCCCAUACCCUGUCAUGCAUACCAGAAUAGGAGUCCUGUCUUAACUGAGCAAUAUACACUAUGGAGAGAUCCUUCAAAACCCGUCGGGACGAAUAACAGAUGAAUUCAUAAAACUGUUCAUCUCUGUUAUCCUGAAUGGUCACUCAGACAACAUUUUACUCAACUAUAAAGGGGAACACUUAAAGUGCAUAUGAGAAGAGAAGAGAAUGACCACAGGAGAAAAUCAUCUCAGCUUUCUCCACCCAGGGCAAAGGCAACAACAACAAACGUCCUAUACUCAAGCCGACUGACCUCAUCUCGUUCCACCCCACCUCAUCCAAUCAGAAAUCUCACACGCUCCAGGCCACGAUUUCCUAACCAGAAUCUGUAAGAGAGAUUCCAAGAACUUGGGAGAAGCAUAUUGUGUGAUGUUCUAUAUUUAUGAGACCCAUAGCAAACUGUGAAGAGAUAACAGAAUGCUUUUUGCGUGAGCUGAAACAGUAGAUGAAAUCUUUCAUUAAAAUUACUCAUACUUUGGGUCCUAUUCUUAUUUAUAAAUAAAUAUUAUUGCAAACA
rnacentral:lncRNA from 1 species